rnacentral:rRNA from 1 species
UGGGGAAUAUUGCACAAUGGGCGCAAGCCUGAUGCAGCCAUGCCGCGUGUAUGAAGAAGGCCUUCGGGUUGUAAAGUACUUUUAGCGGGGAGGAAGGGAGUAAAGUUAAUACCUUUGCUCAUUGACGUUACCCGCAGAAGAAGCACCGGCUAACUCCGUGCCAGCAGCCGCGGUAAUACGGAGGGUGCAAGCGUUAAUCGGAAUUACUGGGCGUAAAGCGCACGCAGGCGGUUUGUUAAGUCAGAUGUGAAAUCCCCGGGCUCAACCUGGGAACUGCAUCUGAGACUGGCAAGCUUGAGUCUCGUAGAGGGGGGUAGAAUUCCAGGUGUAGCGGUGAAAUGCGUAGAGAUCUGGAGGAAUACCGGUGGCGAAGGCGGCCCCCUGGACGAAGACUGACGCUCAGGUGCGAAAGCGUGGGGAGCAAACAGG